AAGUAGCAUUCUAAGCCGAUAAGUUAAAUCUCCUCCCACACUGCUUGGAUGAGCCCCAAGGAAGGACCUGCAGUCAGCUCAAGCAGACUUUGAGCAGCAACCAGUCUCCACCAGACACUGCAGGGCAGCGCUUGGCCUACAACCAUGAGGAAAAGUCAGGAGUUUGGGGUUAUCUAUCUAAAUAAAACCCUAAUAUGCAAAUCGACCAAACGGCGGAACAACCAGUCCU